rnacentral:rRNA from 1 species
UCGUUGCUUCGGCGGGUGGCGGGCUUCGGCCCUGCCCUCGGCCCCUCUCGGGGGCCCGCCGGAGGUACACCAAACUCUUGAAUUUACAUGGCCUCUCUGAGUCUUCUGUACUGAAUAAGUCAAAACUUUCAACAACGGAUCUCUUGGUUCUGGCAUCGAUGAAGAACGCAGCGAAAUGCGAUAAGUAAUGUGAAUUGCAGAAUUCAGUGAAUCAUCGAAUCUUUGAACGCACAUUGCGCCCGCCAGUAUUCUGGCGGGCAUGCCUGUCCGAGCGUCAUUUCAACCAUCAAGCCCCCGGCUUGUGUUGGGGACCUGCGGCACACCCGCAGGCCCUGAAAACCAGUGGCGGGCUCGCUGUCCACACCGAGCGUAGUAGCAUAUCUUUGUCUCGCUCAGGGCGUGCGGCGGGUUCCGGCCGUGAAACCCACCUUCUCGAAGGUACCCAAAGGUUGACCUCGGAUCAGGUAGGAAGACCCGCUGAACUUAAGCAUAUCAAA